rnacentral:tRNA from 1 species
AAGGGAGACCUAAUUCAGGUAGGAGACGAAAAAAUAGUAGUCGAAACCAAGAAUCAAUCCCAAAAGGUCGGAACGAGGUAUGUGGCUUUCAAACUAGGUUCUGGGUUCACAAAAGACCUGAAUCAGGAACAAGGGCUAUUAGCUCAGGUGGUUAGAGCGCACCCCUGAUAAGGGUGAGGUCCCUGGUUCGAGUCCAGGAUGGCCCACCUGCACAGGUGGCAAAAACAAGAGAAACGAGGAAUCAGCACCUUAUCUUACUUACAUAGUAAGAGAGAAUGCUGGCUCUGAGUAAAGAGUCCAGAGGAACCUUGAAAACUGCAUAGAGCUAGGUGAAAAAGCCAAAAAAGAAGACCGCAA